rnacentral:tRNA from 1 species
UCCUCGAUAGCUCAGCGGUAGAGCAGUCGGCUGUUAACCGACGGGUCGUAGGUUCAAGUCCUACUCGGGGAG